UACGGAGGGGGCUAGCGUUGUUCGGAAUUACUGGGCGUAAAGCGCGCGUAGGCGGACCUGCAAGUCGGGGGUGAAAACCCGAGGCUCAACCUCGGGCCUGCAGUCGAUACGGGCAGACUAGAGUAUGGCAGGGGAGACUGGAAUUCCUGGUGUAGCGGUGAAAUGCGCAGAUAUCAGGAGGAACACCGGUGGCGAAGGCGGGUCUCUGGGCCAUAACUGACGCUGAGGAGCGAAAGCGUGGGGAGCGAACAGG
rnacentral:rRNA from 1 species